rnacentral:rRNA from 1 species
GACGAACGCUGGCGGCGUGCCUAAUACAUGCAAGUAGAACGCUGAAGGAGGAGCUUGCUUCUCUGGAUGAGUUGCGAACGGGUGAGUAACGCGUAGGUAACCUGCCUGGUAGCGGGGGAUAACUAUUGGAAACGAUAGCUAAUACCGCAUAAGAGUAGAUGUUGCAUGACAUUUACUUAAAAGGUGCAAUUGCAUCACUACCAGAUGGACCUGCGUUGUAUUAGCUAGUUGGUGGGGUAACGGCUCACCAAGGCGACGAUACAUAGCCGACCUGAGAGGGUGAUCGGCCACACUGGGACUGAGACACGGCCCAGACUCCUACGGGAGGCAGCAGUAGGGAAUCUUCGGCAAUGGACGGAAGUCUGACCGAGCAACGCCGCGUGAGUGAAGAAGGCUUUCGGAUCGUAAAGCUCUGUUGUAAGAGAAGAACGAGUGUGAGAGUGGAAAGUUCACAGG